rnacentral:rRNA from 1 species
UACGGAGGGGGCUAGCGUUGUUCGGAAUUACUGGGCGUAAAGCGCACGUAGGCGGCUUUGUAAGUUAGAGGUGAAAGCCCAGGGCUCAACCCUGGAAUUGCCUUUAAGACUGCAUCGCUUGAACAUCGGAGAGGUAAGCGGAAUUCCGAGUGUAGAGGUGAAAUUCGUAGAUAUUCGGAAGAACACCAGUGGCGAAGGCGACUUACUGGACGAUUGUUGACGCUGAGGUGCGAAAGCGUGGGGAGCAAACAGG